rnacentral:lncRNA from 1 species
CUGAUGAGAGGCUGGGAGGCAUGAAGGACUGAGAGAUGGUUCUUCUGAUUACAGAAUGGAGGUCGGAGCUGUGGAUCUGGUCUUCCAUGCAGACUCUUCUAUGAUUUACACCCUGUCUCAUUAACCCAAUGACACUUUUGGAACUUCCUAAAGAAGUUUUCUUCAGGCCGUCCUUAGAAUGAGUUCCCUGGUGAUCAAAAAGGAAAAGGCAGAAAUAACGGCCAUUCCACAUAAGCACUGUCAAAAGAGACAUAUGCUCUCAGAUCCCUGUCGGAGACACAUCCUGAUCCCUGGAAAUCACACACCUAUCAGCUUAACACCUGGAAAUGUGAUAGAAAAAAUGAAGCAAUGAAGAACAGCUGAAAACCACUGAUCUGUAGAACUAGA